AUGUCAAACAAUUAAGUUCGGACAUUUUUAACAAAAUUAAAAAAUAAAUAAAUAAAAAAGUUUGUUGAAUUGAAUAAGUGAAUGGCAUAUAAUAUAUAAAGUAUAUAAAUUUUGUAAAUAUAUAUUAGAUGUUCAAGAGAUAAGUGAAAAAGAAUUAUCCUCAUCGGAAGUAAUGGACAAACUAAAAACCUUGGAAGAUUCAGUUGGUCUUAUAUUACAACAACUUAGUAAGUAAAUAUUUUAUUUUGUUUUAUGAUUAAUUGUUGUUUGUUGUGUUUUUAUUUGUUGUACUGUU